CUCUUAAUGCUCAGUGGUUAGAGCGUUGGUCUGCAGACCAGAGUUGUGGGUUCAGUUCCCAGUUAAGGAC
rnacentral:tRNA from 1 species